AGGUAUACAACUCCAAUGUACGAAACGUAUUUCAGCUUCCCGAUCAUGUUUAGUGCUGGCACACACAUUUUUCCUCUAACGUUUUAACUUCAUUUCAACUAUAUAACAGUGACUUCCUGAGAGCAGCAUCCAGUCUGCCGAUCAGUGGCAGUAUACACACUCGCAAACAUACUAAACAUACUGACUCUAGUGGAGAGAAUAUAGUGUGGUGUAAUAUCAACGUUGGUAUUUUCUCAGGCGAAGCUUUAGAGACUCAGAGUGGAAACUGCCAGAGUAACGGAGGAGUGUUUCACCGGCGCUGUUCUCUCUCUUAGCACUUAUUCUACCGUCGCCUGAGACUGGACUGUGCCACCAUAGCAGAGAGUAACUAGCAGCAGUCCGUGACACACAGCUUCUCAUCACCUUGGGUUCUUUCUCUGGAUGAAGACAAAGAUAAGUCUGUCUUGGAAAUUCCCGAGACCCAAGGAGUUUCAAUUGAGACACAAUUAGACAGGCCAGGGUAGUUGUCUUGAAGUUCCUGAGAGCCAAGGAUCUUUAGUCAAGACAGAUAGACAACUAGAGUAGUUGUCUUGAAGUUCCUAGA